rnacentral:rRNA from 1 species
UGGGGAAUAUUGCACAAUGGAGGAAACUCUGAUGCAGCAACGCCGCGUGACGGAUGAAGGUUUUCGGAUUGUAAACUUCUUUGAUUGGGGACGAAUAAUGACGGUACCCAAGGAACAAGCCACGGCUAACUACGUGCCAGCAGCCGCGGUAAUACGUAGGUGGCGAGCGUUGUCCGGAAUUACUGGGUGUAAAGGGCGUGUAGGCGGGAAAGCAAGUCAGAUGUGAAAUUCCGAGGCUUAACUUCGGAGCUGCAUCUGAAACUGUUUGACUUGAGUGCUGGAGAGGAAAGCGGAAUUCCUAGUGUAGCGGUGAAAUGCAUAGAUAUUAGGAGGAACACCAGUGGCGAAGGCGGCUUUCUGGACAGUAACUGACGCGGAGGCGCGAAAGCGUGGGGAGCAAAC